GUCUGCUGUGGCGUUCACAACUAUUCCAGCGAAGAUAUUAACGGAGACAAAUCACCCAUGUGGUAGCAGCAGCAACGCUUCUUGGUAGGUUUGUUUGCCGUAUCGCUUUGUUGCGUAAAUUGUAAAUCAUGGUCAAAGCCGGCGACUCGCGGCGAUGCAGAUCCGUGGACGUCGUGGUGAAGAAUACUAAGCAUGCCAAUAUGUCGCUCAGCCAUUCUAAAAAUUGGGCCUUGAACGGGUGGUUUCUUUCCCAAGUGUCUAUCCAGCAUGCACCUAUGGAUAUUGCCAGCCCUGU
rnacentral:misc_RNA from 1 species